UAUUUACAUAAAACGCUGAGCAACUCCAAGGGGAUUGACUAGGUCUUAUUAGUCUUUUCUGGAUUAAGUCGUCUAUUUCAGCUUUGCAGGGUAUGAAGAUUAUGAGUUGGAAUUUUACCAAAACAAGUUGGAGGUUUACCAGAGCAUUAUUCGCAUAGAUCAAUAUCAGAUUCAUCAGAUGUAUCUGACCAAGAAUGGAUGGAGCUGAAGAUAAAAGAUUUUCAAUUCGUACUGUUUGUUUACUUGUUGUUUGUAGGUAAAGAU